UACGUAGGGUGCAAGCGUUGUCCGGAAUUAUUGGGCGUAAAGAGCUCGUAGGCGGUCUGUCACGUCGGGAGUGAAAACCUGGGGCUUAACCCCGGGCCUGCUUUCGAUACGGGCAGACUAGAGUUCGGCAGGGGAGACUGGAAUUCCUGGUGUAGCGGUGAAAUGCGCAGAUAUCAGGAGGAACACCGGUGGCGAAGGCGGGUCUCUGGGCCGUUACUGACGCUGAGGAGCGAAAGCGUGGGGAGCGAACAGG
rnacentral:rRNA from 1 species